rnacentral:rRNA from 1 species
GAUGAACGCUGGCGGCGUGCCUAAUACAUGCAAGUCGAGCGAAUGGAUUAAGAGCUUGCUCUUAUGAAGUUAGCGGCGGACGGGUGAGUAACACGUGGGUAACCUGCCCAUAAGACUGGGAAAACUCCGGGGAACCGGGGCUAAUACCGGAUAACAUUUUGAACCGCAUGGUUCGAAAUUGAAAGGCGGCUUCGGCUGUCACUUAAGGAUGGACCCGCGUAGCAUUAGCUAGUUGGUGAGGUAACGGCUAACCAAGGCAACGAUGCGUAGCCGACCUGAGAUGGUGAUCGGCCACACUGGGACUGAGACACGGCCCAGACGCCUACGGGAGGCAGCAGUAGGGAAUCUUCCGCAAUGGACGAAAGUCUGACGGAGCAACGCCGCGUGAGUGAUGAAGGCUUUCGGGUCGUAAAACUCUGUUGUUAGGGAAGAACAAGUGCUAGUUGAAUAAGCUGGCACCUUGACGGUACCUAACCAGAAAGCCACGGCUAACUACGUGCCAGCCGCCGCGGUAA